CAGUCGCCGCGGUAAUACGAGGGGUGCAAGCGUUACUCGGAAUUACUGGGCGUAAAGCGUGCGUAGGUGGUGGUUUAAGUCCGUUGUGAAAGCCCUGGGCUCAACCUGGGAAUUGCAGUGGAUACUCGGUCACUAGAGUGUGGUAGAGGAUAGUGGAAUUUCCGGUGUAGCAGUGAAAUGCGUAGAGAUCGGAAGGAACAUCUGUGGCGAAGGCGACUAUCUGGGCCAACACUGACACUGAGGCACGAAAGCGUGGGGAGCAAACAGGAUUAGAUACCCGCGUAGUCCUUGUCUCUUAUAC
rnacentral:rRNA from 1 species